rnacentral:rRNA from 1 species
AUAAAGAGAAGUAAUUAAGGGCGUAUGGUGGAUGCCUAGGCUCUCAGAGGCGAAGAAGGACGUGACAAGCUGCGAUAAGUCAUGGAGAGGUGCAAAUAACCUUUGAUCCGUGAAUUUCCGAAUGGGGCAACCCGGUAUACUGAAGGUAUAUCAUUCCGCAAGGAAAGCUAACCCGGAGAACUGAAACAUCUAAGUACCCGGAGGAAAAGAAAACAAAAGUGAUUCCCCUAGUAGUGGCGAUCGAACGGGGAUUAGCCCAAACCAAUAUUGUUUCGGCAAUGUUGGGGUUGUAGGACUACAAUAUAAUUUAUAAAAAAGAAGUGGAACAUUCUGGAAAGUUUGAUCAAAGAGGGUGAUAAUCCCGUACACGUAAUUUGUUAUAAGUUUAGUAGUAUCCUGAGUAUGGCGGGACACGUGAAAUCCUGUCUGAAUCUGCCGGGACCAUCCGGUAAGGCUAAAUACUCCUGAGAGACCGAUAGUGAACUAGUACCGUGAGGGAAAGGUGAAAAGCACCCUGAACAAGGGAGUGAAAUAGUACCUGAAACCAUACGCUUACAAGCGGUCGGAGCGGAUUUAUCCGUGACGGCGUGCCUUUUGCAUAAUGAGCCUACGAGUUACUCCUCUCUAGCAAGGUUAAGGACUUCAGGUCCGUAGCCGAAGCGAAAGCAAGUCUUAAUAGGGCGUUUUAGUUAGAGGGGGUAGACGCGAAACUUGGUGAUCUACCCAUGGCCAGGUUGAAGCGACGGUAAAACGUCGUGGAGGACCGAACCAGUACACGUUGAAAAGUGUUUGGAUGAGCUGUGGGUGGGGGUGAAAGGCCAAUCAAACUGAGAAAUAGCUCGUACUCCCCGAAAUGCAUUUAGGUGCAGCCUCGAGUAUAAGUGUCAUAGAGGUAGAGCUACUGAUAAGGCUAGAGGGCUUCGCCGCCUAUCAACCCUUGAUAAACUCCGAAUGCUAUGACAUGUUCCUCGGGAGUGAGGCGUUGGGUGCUAAGGUCCAGCGCCGAGAGGGAAAGAACCCAGACCAUCAGCUAAGGUCCCCAAAUGUAUGCUAAGUUGUUCUAACGAAGUGUGAUUGCUUUGACAGCUAGGAUGUUGGCUUGGAAGCAGCCAUUCAUUUAAAGAGUGCGUAACAGCUCACUAGUCGAGCGAUCGUGCAUGGAUGAUAAUCGGGCAUAAGUAUACUACCGAAGCUAUGGAAUAGAAAUAUUGGUAGGGGAGCAUUCUAAUUGCGCCGAAGCAGUAUCGUAAGGUAUUGUGGAGCGAUUAGAAAAGAAAAUGUAGGCAUAAGUAACGAUAAAGCGGGUGAGAAACCCGCUCACCGAUAGACUAAGGUUUCCUGAUCAACGCUAAUCGGAUCAGGGUUAGUCGGGACCUAAGGCGAACCCGAAAGGGGUAGUCGAUGGAUAACAGGUCAAAAUUCCUGUACUAGCAAAUAUUGCGAUGGAGAGACGAAAAAGUGAAAGGACUGCGUACUGACGGAAUAGUACGUUAAAGAGUGUAGGUUUUGGAUUUGGUUAAUAGCUAGAUCUAGCUGAACUUGAUAGUACCGUGAGUCUUCGGACGAGCGGAUAAUGUCCCUAAACCGGUUUCCUAGAAAAUCUUCUAAGCUUCAGAUAUUUGCUACCCGUACCGCAAACCGACACAGGUAGUCAAGGAGAGAAUCCUAAGGUGCUCGAGUGAAUCAUGGCUAAGGAACUCGGCAAAAUGGUCCUGUAACUUCGGGAGAAAGGACGCCCCGAGCAAUCGGGGCCGCAGUGAAUAGGCCCAGGCGACUGUUUAUCAAAAACACAGGGCUUUGCCAAAUCGAAAGAUGAUGUAUAAGGCCUGACACCUGCCCGGUGCUGGAAGGUUAAGAGGGGGAGUUAUUCUUCGGAAGAAGCUCUGAAUUGAAGCCCCAGUAAACGGCGGCCGUAACUAUAACGGUCCUAAGGUAGCGAAAUUCCUUGUCGGGUAAGUUCCGACCUGCACGAAUGGUGUAACGAUCUGGGCACUGUCU